rnacentral:rRNA from 1 species
ACUAUGAUUGCCUCAGUAACGGCGAGUGAAGCGGCAUCAGCCCAAGUUGUAAAUCUCCAGCACAUGUGCUGGCGAAUUGUAGUCUGAGGGUUUAGACCAAGCAACGAGAGGACGUACAAGUGUUCAGAAAUCUUCUGCCAUAGAGGGUGAAAGCCCCGUACAUUAUGUCGUCUUGUGUGUCGGUCGAAAACCUAAGAGUCGGGUUCUUUUGAAUUGGAGCCCAAAGUGGGAGAUAAACUUCUUCUAAGGCUAAAUAUAUCUGGGAAACCGAUAGUGUACAAGUACUGUGAAGGAAAGAUGAAAAGAACUUUGAAAAGAGAGUUAAUCAGAUUUGAAAUCGUUGAGAAGGAAGCGGUGAAAACCCAUUAUUUGUUGUGUCCUUUAUCAUGCUGCACUUUCAAUCUGCCUUUAGAGUUCUUUAACGGCUCUGUGGGUGGCAUUGGGGUUAGGCCUGACAUGUUCACACAAUACGCAAAAUGGGCUUGGAUUCUUGUAAACGACUGGGAGGAUACUAAGGUCUUGCCGAUAGGCCUUCUAGAGAAGACUUGAGUCCAGGCUAAGGGUGCUUCGUGCGAUUUUGCGAAAAUGGUUUUGACUGACCCGUCUUGAAACACGGACCAAGGAGUCUAACAUAUAUGCGAGUGUGCUGGUGUUAAACCGAUACGCACAAUGAAAGUGAGUGGUGCCAAGCUUAUGCUGCAGCAUCAACCGACCAUGAUCUUUAGUGAAAGGUUUGAGUAGGAGCAUAUCUGUUAGGACCCGAAAGAUGGUGAACUAUGCCUGAGUAGAGUGAAGCCAGGGGAAACUCUGGUGGAAGCUCGAAGCGAUUCUGACGUGCAAAUCGAUCGUCAAACUUAGGUAUAGGGGCGAAAGACUAAUCGAACCAUCUAGUAGCUGGUUCCCUCCGAAGUUUCCCUCAGGAUAGCUGGGACAAUGAUGCAGUUUUAUCAGGUAAAGCGAAUGAUUAGAGGCAUCGGGGAUGCAACGUCCUCGACCUAUUCUCAAACUUUAAAUUGGUAAGAACUCCACGGUUAUAAUCACCUAAACGAACAUGGAGAUAGAAUGCAUGUCCCGUGUGGGCCAUUUUUGGUAAGCAGAACUGGCGAUGAGGGAUGAACCUAACGUUAAGUUAAGGUGCCCAAAUGUACGCUCAUCAGAUACCAUAAAAGGUGUUGAUUCAUUUAGACAGCAGGACGGUGGCCAUGGAAGUCGGAACCCGCUAAGAAGUGUGUAACAACUUACCUGCCGAAUGAAUUAGCCCUGAAAAUGGAUGGCGCUUAAGCGUGCUACCGAUACUUAACCAUUACUGCAAGUGUGACGCAGUAAUGAGUAGGAGGGCGUGAACGUAGUGUCGAAGCCCUGCAGUGAUGCUCGGUUGAACUGCGUUUAGUGCAGAUCUUGGUGGUAGUAGCAAGUAUUCAAAUGAGAACUUUGAAGGCCGAAGUGGAGAAGGUUUCCAUGAGAACAACAAUUGGUCAUGGGUGACUCGAUCCUAAGGCAUUGGCGAAAGCCUUGCAAUUGCACUUCGGUGUGCAGCCAAAAGGGAAUGAGGUUAAUAUUCCUCAAGCUGGAUGUGGAUGAUAAUGGCAACAUAAGUGAGCUCGAAGACGCCAGCACAAGCCUCUGGAAUAGUUAUCUUUUCUUUUUAACAAGCGUGUGACCUUGAAAUUGGAUUAUCCAGAGCUAAGGUUACUUGUUUGGAAAAGCACCAUAACUUCUGUGGUGUCAGGUGCGCUUGUGAUGGUCCUUGAAAAUUCGAGUGAGAGAUUAUUUCACACCAGAUCGUACCAAUAACCGCAUCAG